rnacentral:rRNA from 1 species
AAUGAACGUUGGCGGCAUGGAUUAGGCAUGCAAGUCGAGCGGUAAGGCCCCGCAAGGGGUACACGAGCGGCGUAAGGGACAGUAAUGUGUAGGUACGUACCUCCGGGCCUGGGAUAGCUGUGGGAAACUGCAAUUAAUACCAGAUGAUGUCUCCGGACCAAAGGUGUGAUUCCGCCGGGAGAGCGGCCUACAUCCUAUUAGCUAGUUGGCGGGGUAACGGCACACCAAGGCUCAGAUGGGUAGUAGGUGUGAGAGCACGACCUGCGUCACUGGGACUGAGACACUGCCCAGACACCUACGGGUGGCUGCAGUCGAGAAUCUUCGGCAAUGAGCGCAAGCUUGACCGAGCAAUGCCGCGUGCGGGAAGAAGGCCUUCGGGUUGUAAACCGCUGUCAGAGGGAACGAAAUGCCAGUGGGUACUCUCAUUGGUUUGACUGAUCCUCAAAGGAAGGGUGGGCUAAGUUCGUGCCAGCCGCCGCAGUAAUAC